rnacentral:lncRNA from 1 species
GAAGUGGAGGAAAUAGUCUACCUUACAAAGAUAGGUUGGCAGACCUUCCAGAUACUGUGUGAGGACCUGGCUCAUCUCGUGCCUCAUAGAGGUUCACCCAUUGAAAAUAGGGUGUUGGCCUCCCUGUGGCUGAUGGCCAACCAGGAAAGUUUCAGGGGAGUGGCAGACCGGUUCAACCUCAGCAAGAAACAUUGCAUCACCACUUCAUUCAAGUGGUCAUAGGCCUCACCCAGCUGGUGUCUGACUAUGUGAAGUGGCUUUUUGUAAAGCAGCUACCAGUGGUAUAGGCUGCAUUUGAGAGAAAGACGAGGUUCCCUUUGGUGAUUGGGUGUAUAGAUGGCACCCAUAUUACCAUCAGGGGACCCUCCAACAAAAGGGAUGCCUACAUAAACAGAAAGGGCCAUGCUAGCUUCCAUCUCCAGGCAGUGUGUGACAGCCUACUGCUUCUGUGACGAUGCCAGAGUGUACAGGGCCAGCAACCUCAAGGCCCACCUGGAGACCAACCCACUACCCAAUCAAUACCAUCUGCUCGGGGGAUUCUGCAUACCCCCUGUGUGGACUUAAUUGUCCCAUUCAGAAACAACAGCCACCUUGAAGAUGAAGAAAAGCAUUUUAACCAGGUCCGCAGUUCAACACAUGGACACACUGAGAGGACAUUUGGGAUACUCAAGUGGAGGAGACUGCAGCACUUGGACAUGUUCCUUCUAAACAAAACACCCCCUUUGAUUGCCAGUGCAUGUGUUCCCCACAACUUGGUCCUGAUCCAUGAAGGGAUCACAGAGGAAAUACCAGUGGAGGCCCCCAUUGACCACGUCCCUGCCCCAGACCCCAAAAGGGCAGCUUUUUGACAGGCAGCAAUGCUGAAGAGGGACAAUCUGAUGAGGCUGCUCUAAGCUACAAAACACAUCUACGAUCACACCCCCACACACCCAGACACAUGCACCCACCCAUCACUGACGUCCACC